GCACAAGCAGCGAGCGAUGUGGUUUAAUUCGACGCAACGCGAAGAACCUUACCUGGGUUUGACAUGGCAGCGUAAGCCGUGGAAACACGGCCCUCGCGAGAGCGCUGUCACAGGUGCUGCAUGGCUGUCGUCAGCUCGUGUCGUGAGAUGUUGGGUUAAGUCCCGCAACGAGCCGCAACCCUUAUCCCCAGUUGCCAUCAGGUAAAGCUGGGAACUCUGGGGAGACUGCCGGUGAUAAACCGGAGGAAGGCGGGGAUGGCGUCAAGUCCUCAUGGCCCUUACAUCCCGGGCUACACACGUGCUACAAUGGCAGGUACAGAGGGCUGCGAAGCCGCGAGGUGGAGCGAAUCCCAGAAAACCUGUCUCAGUCCGGAUUGAAGUCUGCAACUCGACUUCAUGAAGGCGGAAUCGCUAGUAACCGCGAAUCAGCAGGUCGCGGUGAAUACGUUCCCGGGCCUU
rnacentral:rRNA from 1 species